rnacentral:rRNA from 1 species
GAUGAACGCUGGCGGCGUGCCUAAUACAUGCAAGUCGAGCGAACUGAUUAGAAGCUUGCUUCUAUGACGUUAGCGGCGGACGGGUGAGUAACACGUGGGCAACCUGCCUGUAAGACUGGGAUAACUUCGGGAAACCGAAGCUAAUACCGGAUAGGAUCUUCUCCUUCAUGGGAGAUGAUUGAAAGAUGGUUUCGGCUAUCACUUACAGAUGGGCCCGCGGUGCAUUAGCUAGUUGGUGAGGUAACGGCUCACCAGGGCAACGAUGCAUAGCCGACCUGAGAGGGUGAUCGGCCACACUGGGACUGAGACACGGCCCAGACUCCUACGGGAGGCAGCAGUAGGGAAUCUUCCGCAAUGGAUGAAAGUCUGACGGAGCAACGCCGCGUGAGUGAUGAAGGCUUUCGGGUCGUAAAACUCUGUUGUUAGGGAAGAACAAGUACAAGAGUAACUGCUUGUACCUUGACGGUACCUAACCAGAAAGCCACGGCUAACUACGUGCCAGCAGCCGCCGUAA